CAGAGACAUGCCUUUAUUUUACAAUAAUGUCACAGUGAACUUGACAUAUACCAAAUUAUCGUGAUGGCUAUAACUAGACAGUGACUUUGAUACCACUUUUAAUAACUGUAAAUAUACAUUUAUUUCAACAUAUACAAAUCUUUUAACAAAAUUAACUAACCUGUAAAUAUUGCUUAAGCAUUUAAGCGUCAGCAUUGUAAGGCGGCUAUUCAGUUAAUGAAAUACUAAAUCUCUAUAUAUAAAUAAGACGUACAUAUAUUUUCCCGCGCUCGUGCAAUAAUAUUUUAUUCUAUUUAAAUCAUUCAGGUGUGUAGUGAUGUGUAUAUGAAAUUGUGCAGUGACGUAUAUUAGAAAUGUCGUCAGUCUCAGUCAAUCGUCAUAAUGAGUAUGAUGAAACAGAAAAUGGAAUGAAUGAAUGAAUGAAUGAAUGAAUGAAAUAAAUGAACUGAUGAAUAACCAAUCAAACAUUUAAUAUACACAUAAACACGACGGUGACAAUAAGAUAACAUAAAUUAGAACCUACUCAUUUGUGAGUUGGACAUUAUUCACAUCUCAACCUGAAUAUGAAUUAAGAAAUAAUUGAAUAUCAAAUUUACAAUAAACUACAAUGAUGCACCCUUCUUCUGCAAUGUAAAUUAUAUAACAGUAAAUUUUCUGCCCGACUUUUUAUCCUUGUUACUAUAGUCUUUGACCAUUAUUUUACUAGGAGCGGAAGUCCAUAACAAGUAAAAUAUGUGUCACUCUGGCACUUACUAUCUUUGGAAAAAUUGUUCUAUUGCUUGUUUUUCUAGUAAUUUCAAUUAUAAUUAUAGUUAUUAAUAAAAUAAGCAUAUUUUGAAAGUUUCAUUUAUUUUUUCCAUAAAAAAAAAGGGUAUAUGGACAUUAUAAGCU
rnacentral:lncRNA from 1 species